CAAUAGGGAAUCUUCGGCAAUGGGGGCAACCCUGACCGAGCAACGCCGCGUGAGUGAAGAAGGUUUUCGGAUCGUAAAGCUCUCUUGUAAGAGAAGAACGUGUGUGAGAGUGGAAAGUUCACACAGUGACGGUAACUUACCAGAAAGGGACGGCUAACUACGUACCAG
rnacentral:rRNA from 1 species